rnacentral:rRNA from 1 species
UGAGGAAUUUUGCGCAAUGGGGGCAACCCUGACGCAGCAACGCCGCGUGAGUGAAGAAGGCCUUUGGGUCGUAAAACUCUGUCAACAGGGAAGAAGUUACCUGGUAUUAAUAGUAUCAGGUAUUGACGGUACC